AGGAAAUGGGCUCUGGUUUUGCUGUCGCUGAGAGGAGGCAGCAUCUGGUGGGUGGUGUCCAGCAGGCAGACACUGCUUUGCUGCCCUGGGGCUCUGGGAGCAAACAGAGCAUUUCUAGGCACCAGUGGAGGGGAGAGACUCAUGGAAGAUCUGAGGCUCCCUGCAGAAUUCCACACUGGGAUCACCUCCUGCACCACCAGCCCCAUGCACCCAUUUUCAGGACAGUGUUGGAGGGCAUCUCCUCCUGGAAAUGUUUGCAGGAGACACAGGAGUACAGGGGCUCCUGGCAGCUGUGACCCUCUGCCUGGUAGCAGAGUGAGAGCAGCCUGAGGACCUCCCUGUGCCAGGACAUCUCUGCACACCCAGCACACAGGGCUGUGCAGCGGUGCAAGACUUCUGUCUCCACCUAAUGGUCCUUUGCUGGGGUGUCACUGCCAAGGGGUCCUGGGGAGCUGCAAGGGGAGCAGAUGGGGCUCAGCUCCAGAUCCAGCAGUGUGGGACAGUGUCAGGGCACAAAAAGGAGCCCAGGAGUUUUGCUGGUGUCUGCACCCCCCCCAGCCCUUAUCGCAGCCUGCAGCAGGGUGGCCGUGGUGGGGGCCUGAUAAAGGAAAGUGAGGGCUCUCCUCCAGCUGUGGGUGUGGUGAGAGACUGGGCAGCAGAUAGUCCCAGGAGGCUACAACCUGCCAGGUGCUGAGUAAGGGCUGGGAGGCCCUUAGUGAGGGGGGAAGGUUCAAGGAAGCCUCAGGGUGGCUCACAAAGCCAGCCAAGGUUGGCACAGGCUCCUUUGAUCCUUGGCACUGGCAAGCAUGGCCUCUUCCCUAGUCCCACAGCCUCCAGGCACCAUCAGUGAAUGCACGGAGACAGGAGAAACUCCAGUAACUCCAAAGAGAGAAGGAGGCCCUCCAGGGUCUCUUGUGCAAAGCACCACAGGCAUCAUCAUCCCACAUGCCCACUGUUCCUGGGCUCAGGGAGGAAGGCAGGAGAAAGCCAGUCUGGGCAUCCCUGGCCAGUCUGAUCUACCUUUGGAUAGAGCAGGUGCUGGAGCAGGUUCCACCCUUCCAGCCAGGAGCAUCACCCAGGCAGAGCUGUCGGCACAACUUCCUGGGGAUCUCGUGGAGAACCAGGAUAUGGUGGGGACCCAGGGCACCCCGGUGUGCAAGGAGGUGUGAACUGGUGGGGACAGCACUGGGAAGAGCCAACCUCAAAUCCAGCACGGACUUGGGCUCCUCCAAACCCAGCCCCUGAGGGCUGUCAUGGCCCCCAGCACGGUGGGCCGUGCUGUGACCUCAGGCAGGACACAUGGGCUGGCCGUGGGCAGUGUCCUGCCCCUGCAGCACUUUGCCGAGGUUCUGCCUGGCCCGAGAGCUGCUGAGCUCGUGUUGUCCCAGCCGUUUGUCCCUGCUGCCACAAGAUGGGGACCUCAAGCCGUGGUGCUUUAUCGGGGCCGGGCAGAGGGUGAGGGCUGGGAGGAGCGGGGCUCCCGGGUGCUCUGGGGACACUGCUGCCGGCUCGGAGCGGGGUGCAGGACCCCUCCCCAUCAUGUGCCGAGCUGAGAGUUCCAACCCCGGCCCCCCCCCUCUGGCUCAUAGCACAGGGGUUCCCUUCGCUGAGCAUCCCUUGGUGGCCAUGGCUUCGUGUGCCCCAGGACACACAGCCUGCCCCGUGGGACAGACACGCUGGCCACAGCUGAGCUGCCAUCCCUGCAUCCCUGGAACCCACCAGCACCACAGCAGCCCUGCUCUGGAGCGGAGCAGUCAGGUAUUUGCCCCAGUGCUGGCCCAGGCAGGUUUUGCAGCCGGCAUUGCUGCAGCUCCAGGGCUGGGGAGAGAGCUGGAGGCAAAUUCUGCAUUGCUACAGCGGAGCAGCCUGAAGCAGCCCCAGGUGACUCUGAGGAGGUGGAUUUGGACACAAAGCCCCCUGAUCCAGGCCAUGGCAGCACUCAGGAAGCCAAAUCACACCAGGCAGCUUCCACAGAAGAAAGAAGACGUGUAUCUCCAGGCCAUGGCUGUUUUGAUGUCUCCACUCUCUGCAGGCCUUUCUCAGCUCUCAUUUAUCCUUGAUGGACAAAGCAGCCGGGUUCAAAGAUACCCCCAGAACAGCACAGUGUUCUGUUCUGUGGUGUCACCAAGGCAAGUGGCAUCUCAGAGCUCAUUUUUAUUGAAAUGACUUCAGGAAAUGAGCUUGAUAGUAGAGAUUUACCCAAUCACAGGACUUCCACCAGUCUCCCGAGGGGCUGCAAACAGCAUUGGCCAGAUAGGUUGGAUUCUAAUCUUGUUAUGUUGGCUAGAUAGUCAUGUCCCUUCAGAGUGUGUCCUGGAAAGGGACACAGAAACAUGUACUUCUGGAGGAGGUCAAGCAUCCCAGGGGAGUUUAACAGGAAUUCUCCUUGAAUUUUCUAUCUUCCCAGUAGCAAAGGGGAUCUAGCAAACAAGCAGUGGGAAGAUAGGGAAUUAAUUCUGUGCUGGAAGCUGAUUUCAGGAGACCAGUUGAGAGAUCCUCUUGUUUGAAUGAGGGAAAUCGUGGUGUGUUUUACAAACUGUUCUUUUCUAUACAUCACACAUUGGAAUUCAAUAUGGCAAUAGUGUAAUCCAUGAGUGGUGCAGCCAACAGGUCUUCUGCUUCUUUGCUGUGUGUUUGGACAGGCACUCUCUCCUAAAUGUCAGAUUUUCCCUGCUGAAAUGAUCUCCCUGAUUUGUCUGGACCCUUUUGAAUUUUAAGCCAGUGCUUGCAGCUCCUCCAGCUCAAGAACAUUUGACAACUUAAUAAGGACAUUCUCCACUACAACACAAGUUAUUGAUGACAGCACAGUAAAGAAUAAUGGUAAACAAAGAACUGGAAUCUGUCACGGAAGGAAAACAGACUCAUCUGAAAGGAUUCAUUCUUGGCAAUGACCAUGAUUAUUACUCAUCUCCUUCUUCGAUUAAAAGUCCCACUGUUUGUUGUUGGUUUUUUUUUUUACUUGAAGCCAACUGGUUUGUAGUUCCUUGGUUUCCUCCUUUUACCCUGCUAAUGAUAAGAGAUGGUCUGAUUUCUGUGAACCCAUCCCCUUCCCUCUUUUCCCAGAGAUAUUGGAUUUUGGAGGUGGCUUCCAUCAGUUUUUGAGGUAAAGGGGAUUUUUUUUUUUUUCAGGCAAGCAGUCUGAAAAUAAGGAAUGAUUGAAAUACACUUUAAUUCAAACUUUUUGGAAUCCUCCCACCUCCUCCACUGGCUGUUUCACCAGUGGAAAAAAGGAAAAGUGGUAGAAGACAGAAAAUGAGCAUUGAUUAGAUUUUCACUACAAAGAUGGAAAUUGAAUAGAAAUGCAAAAUCUUUCUUCCUGCUGGUUUCCCUGUCUUCCUACCACACAGCAACCACCUGGGAGAUCUGAUUUUGCUUGGAGCUGAGAUGAUAGGCAAGGCUCUGCUGGUGACAUCAGCGCUUCCUCUCUCCCUGUGUUGUUUUUCUGUGUUUUUCAGCAGCAGAAGUGCCAUCUGGGGAGGGCACAGCUCUGGUUGUGUUCCUUCAGCUCCCACACAAGCAGUAAUAACAAUUCCAGAGGCUCCAUUCCUGCCUGUUGCCUUCAGCAUCUGUCUGCUGCUCACGAAUUUGCUCUACCUUUUAUAAACCUGCUGAUCCUAUUUGUUUCCACAACCUCCUGUGGCAGUGAGUUCCAGAAGUUCAUUCUCCCACCUGCUCCAAAUAAAAUCCUUUUUAUCCAUUUUAAGUCA